UCAAAAUUACCAAAUGGCCGACACUGAGUUUAAAGUGGCUUAAAUGGCCUUCACCAUUUUCUGUCAGCAUUAAAAUCCUUAUCACGAUCUGUACAUGAAACUUAUUGUCAUCUUUAAAGUUAUCUGUAAAUAAAACCUCGAUAUUUGUAACACUGACCCUAGAUAGCAUCCAAAGCGCGUCCUCCAAGCCCGCCCAAAGUCUAUAAAACCACCUUUGCCUGAAAAAAUUUCACAAACUUUUUUCACUCCAUUCUUCUGCUUGUAAGUUGUGUGAAAAGUAAUGGCGGAGACAAUUGCCUCAGAACAGUAGGAUCGUGGGCUGUUUGGUCUGAUAGGGAAGAAGAAAGAAGAGGAGAAGGAACCCAAACAUCAUGGUGAAGAUGAUGGGAAAGCACACAAAGUGGGUUUGAUGGAUAAGCUCCAUCGCUCAAAUAGCUCCUCUUCCAGCUCUUCUUGCGAUGAGGAAGGGGGAGAAAAAGGAGAGAAGAAGAAGAAGAAGAAGAAGAAGAAGAAAGGAGGAGAUGAUGAUAAAGAGAAGAGAAGAGGGAUUGAUGGACAAGAUCAAGGAGAAGCUUCCAGGACACCAUAACAAGGAUGAGGAAAAAGUGGAAUGAUCACUCGCCGUUUUCAUACGCGUUUUCUUUUAUGUUUGUAUUGUAUUUGGAUUUCCUGAAAUAAACUACAAUACUUGUGUUCGUAGACAAUCCACUUGCCUUUCGUACAAGAGUUCUCUACUGAAAAUUUACUUACAGAUAUGAUUGCAUUGGAUUUUGAUUUGACAUAAAUGAAGUCUUUGACCAAACUUAAAGGAAAAGCUGUUACCGGUAGCACGA